rnacentral:rRNA from 1 species
AUACGUAAGGGGCAAGCGUUAUCCGGAUUUACUGGGUGUAAAGGGAGCGUAGACGGUGAGGCAAGUCUGAUGUGAAAACCCGGGGCUCAACUCCGGGAUUGCAUUGGAAACUGUCUGACUUGAGUACUGGAGGGGUAAGCGGAAUUCCUGGUGUAGCGGUGAAAUGCGUAGAUAUCAGGAGGAACACCGGUGGCGAAGGCGGCUUACUGGACAGUAACUGACGUUGAGGCUCGAAAGCGUGGGGAGCAAACAGGAUUAGAUACCCUGGUAGUCCACGCCCUAAACGAUGAAUACUAGGUGUUGGCGACCACAGGUCGUCAGUGCCGCAGCAAACGCAUUAAGUAUUCCACCUGGGGAGUACGUUCGCAAGAAUGAAACUCAAAUGAAUUGACGGGG